rnacentral:rRNA from 1 species
AUUGAACGCUGGCGGCAUGCCUUACACAUGCAAGUCGAACGGCAGCACGGGUGCUUGCACCUGGUGGCGAGUGGCGAACGGGUGAGUAAUACAUCGGAACGUACCUUAUCGUGGGGGAUAACGCAGCGAAAGCUGUGCUAAUACCGCAUACGCCCUGAGGGGGAAAGCGGGGGAUCGCAAGACCUCGCGCGAUUAGAGCGGCCGAUGCCUGAUUAGCUUGUUGGUGGGGUAAAAGCCCACCAAGGCGACGAUCAGUAGCUGGUCUGAGAGGACGAUAAGCCACACUGGGACUGAGACACGGCCCAGACGCCUACGGGAGGCAGCAGUGGGGAAUUUUGGACAAUGGGGGCAACCCUGAUCCAGCAAUGCCGCGUGAGUGAAGAAGGCCUUCGGGUUGUAAAGCUCUUUUGUCAGGGAAGAAACACCGGCUCUAACACAGUCCGGGAAUGACGGUACCUGAAGAAUAAGCACCGGCUAACUACGUGCCAGCAGCCGCAGUAA